UACGUAGGGGGCAAGCGUUGUCCGGAUUUAUUGGGCGUAAAGAGCGUGUAGGCGGCCAAACAGGUCCACUGUGAAAACUCGAGGCUCAACCUCGAGAGGUCGGUGGAAACCGUCUGGCUAGAGUCCGGAAGAGGAGAGUGGAAUUCCCGGUGUAGCGGUGAAAUGCGACAGAUAUCGGGAAGAACGACCCGUGGCGAAGGCGGC
rnacentral:rRNA from 1 species